AGGCCACAUCAGAUGCAGACCACUUGAUCUUAGACUUCCCAGUCUCCAGAACUCAUUUCUAGAAAUGGCACAAAGGAUGUGUUUGUAUGAAGAGAAUCCACACUUCUACUGGAAAGGAAAGCAAGCAGGAGUGCCAUCAGUGGUCCAGAAAUUGUGAGCAGAUCCCAUGAUGGAAGUAUCAAUCUGCAGACAAUUCUGUACUCAGAGUUCCACCGGAGAAGUG